rnacentral:rRNA from 1 species
UACGGGGGGGGCAAGCGUUGUUCGGAAUUACUGGGCGUAAAGCGCGUGUAGGCGGCUUUUCAAGUCAGACGUGAAAGCCCCGGGCUUAACCCGGGAACGACGUUUGAUACUGUUGAGCUAGAGUGUGGAAGGGGCUACUGGAAUUCCUAGUGUAGCGGUGAAAUGCGCAGAUAUUGGGAAGAACACCGGUGGCGAAGGCGGCUCUCUGGACCGAUACUGACGCUGAGGCACGAGAGCGUGGGGAGCGAACUGG